rnacentral:tRNA from 1 species
GGGGUCGUAGCUUAGUCCGGCUUAAAGCGCCUGACUGUCGAUCAGGAGACCGCGGGUUCAAAUCCCGUCGACCCCG